rnacentral:tRNA from 1 species
GAGUCUGUAGCUCAGCUGGAUAGAGCAACGGCCUUCUAAGCCGUAGGUCGGGGGUUCGAAUCCCCCCAGGCUCG